rnacentral:rRNA from 1 species
CGAGUGAAGCGGCAACAGCUCAAAUUUGAAAUCUGGCUUCGGCCCGAGUUGUAAUUUGUAGAGGAAACUUUUGGUGAGGCACCUUCUGAGUCCCUUGGAACAGGGCGCCAUAGAGGGUGAGAGCCCCGUAUAGUCGGAUGCCGAUCCAAUGUAAAGUUCCUUCGACGAGUCGAGUAGUUUGGGAAUGCUGCUCAAAAUGGGAGGUAAAUUUCUUCUAAAGCUAAAUAUAGGCCAGAGACCGAUAGCGCACAAGUAGAGUGAUCGAAAGAUGAAAAGCACUUUGAAAAGAGGGUUAAAUAGCACGUGAAAUUGUUGAAAGGGAAGCGUUUGUGACCAGACUUGCGCCGUUCCGAUCAUCCGGUGUUCUCACCGGUGCACUCGGGGCGGCUCAGGCCAGCAUCGGUUUUGGUGGGGGGAUAAAGGUUCAGGGAACGUAGCUCCUCCGGGAGUGUUAUAGCCCUGGGCGUAAUGCCCUCGCUGGGACCGAGGUUCGCGCAUCUGCAAGGAUGCUGGCGUAAUGGUCAUCAACGACCCGUCUUGAAACACGGACCAAGGAGUCAAGGUUUUGCGCGAGUGUUUGGGUGUAAAACCCGCACGCGUAAUGAAAGUGAACGUAGGUGAGAGCUUCGGCGCAUCAUCGACCGAUCCUGAUGUAUUCGGAUGGAUUUGAGUAAGAGCGUUAAGCCUUGGACCCGAAAGAUGGUGAACUAUGCUUGGAUAGGGUGAAGCCAGAGGAAACUCUGGUGGAGGCUCGCAGCGGUUCUGACGUGCAAAUCGAUCGUCAAAUCUGAGCAUGGGGGCGAAAGACU